GCACCAGUGGCGGAAUUGGUAGACGCGUACGCUUGAGGGGCGUAUGGCAUUUGCUGUAAGGGUUCAAAUCCCUUCUGGUGCACCA
rnacentral:tRNA from 1 species